AUCCCAUGAUGAGGGUAGGCGGCCACGUACUCCUGUAGUCGUUCCUAUCCUUCAGGAAUAGACUUGUCCCUCGUCUGCUGGAAACUGGAAAUUCAUCGACGAAGGGC
rfam:Oryza meridionalis cultivar OR44 (W2112) chromosome 4, whole genome shotgun sequence.